rnacentral:tRNA from 1 species
CGAAGCUGUAGUUUAAAAAAAUAUUAGCAUUGGAAGCUAAAGAUUAGGUANUCAAUCCUACUCUUCGA